CUCCAAUCCAAAUUUGUUUGGGGCGGAUUUCUGAUGUUACUAACUGAAAUGAACAAUCCUGAUUUUGUAUUAGGGGAGUUCAAAAACUACCCAUUCUUAACGUUUUCCUUAUGUCGCAACAACCAGCUAGCUAGAACUUAAAGAAGAAGAAGGCGAGGUUUGACCCUCAAUUGUAUUCCGAGUUGUCUCCAUCUCUUUUUAUUCGGCAUUUACCUUGCCUCCGGUGGCUAUUUGAGCAGAAGAUCAUACUC
rnacentral:lncRNA from 1 species